rnacentral:rRNA from 1 species
AAUGCGUAGAGAUCUGGAGGAAUACCGAUGGCGAAGGCAGCCAUCUGGCUAAUACUGACGCUGAGGUACGAAAGCAUGGGGAGCAAACAGGAUUAGAUACCCUGGUAGUCCAUGCCGUAAACGAUGUCUACUAGCCGUUGGGGCCUUGAGGCUUUAGUGGCGCAGCUAACGCGAUAAGUAGACCGCCUGGGGAGUACGGUCGCAAGACUAAAACUCAAAUGAAUUGACGGGGGCCCGCACAAGCGGUGGAGCAUGUGGUUUAAUUCGAUGCAACGCGAAGAACCUUACCUGGCCUUGACAUACUAGAAACUUUCCAGAGAUGGAUUGGUGCCUUCGGGAAUCUAGAUACAGGUGCUGCAUGGCUGUCGUCAGCUCGUGUCGUGAGAUGUUGGGUUAAGUCCCGCAACGAGCGCAACCCUUUUCCUUACUUGCCAGCAUUUCGGAUGGGAACUUUAAGGAUACUGCCAGUGACAAACUGGAGGAAGGCGGGGACGACGUCAAGUCAUCAUGGCCCUUACGGCCAGGGCUACACACGUGCUACAAUGGUCGGUACAAAGGGUUGCUACACAGCGAUGUGAUGCUUAUCUCAAAAAGCCGAUCGUAGUCCGGAUUGGAGUCUGCAACUCGACUCCAUGAAGUCGGAAUCGCUCGUAAUCGCGGAUCAGAAUGCCGCGGUGAAUACGUUCCCGGGCCUUGUACACACCGCCCGUCACACCAUGGGAGUUUGUUGCACCAGAAGUAGCUAGCCUAACUGCAAAGAGGGCGGUUACCACGGUGUGGCCGAUGACUGGGGUG